rnacentral:lncRNA from 10 species
CUUCACUCCCCUGGUGUCUGUCCCUGUCAUUUCUGGGUGGGGAAGGUGAAAGGGGUUUCCUGGCAGGAAUCAGUCUGGUUCCUACAAAGGGCCGAGGCCAUCAUGCUGGGGCUGAGGCAGAUGCCGGCCAGCAGGCUACAUAAGGCGGAGAGGACCACACGUCACCCUCAGUGGCCAGGAGCACCAGUGCCAGGGCGAGCAUCCUGUCAGUAGCAGGGAGGUGGGGUGCACCUAGUGUGUCUGGAGUUUGUCCCUUCCGGUGGGUUUGUAGUCUCGCUGACUUUAAGAAUGAAGCUGCGGACCUUCACAGUGAGUGUUACAGCUCUUAAAGGUGGUGUGUCCGGAGUUUCUUCCUUCCGGUGGGUUCCUGGUCUCGUUGACUUCAAGAAUGAAGCCGCAGCCCUUCACGGUGAGUGUUAACAGCUCUCAAAGGUGGUACAGACCCAAAGAGUGAGCAACAGCAAGAUUUACUGUGAAGAGGGAAUCAACGAAACUUCCACACCGUGGAACAGGACCCUAGGGAGUUGCUACUACUGGCCAGGGGUGGGGUGGGUGGCCAGCUUUUUUUAUUCCUUUAUUUGUCCUUGCCCACAUCCUGCUGAUUGGUCCAUUUUACAGAGCACUGAUUGGUCCAUUUUACAGACUGCUGAUUGGUCCAUUUUACAAACCUCCAGCUAGCCACAAAGCACGGAUUGGUGCAUUUUUACAGAGCACUGAUUGGCACAUUUACAAACCUCUGGCUAGCCACAGAGCAUUGAUUGGUGCAUUUUACAAUCCUAGCUACAGAGUGCUGAUUGGUGCAUUUUACAAUCCUCUCGUAAGACAGAAAAGUUCUCCAAGUCCCCACUGGACCCAGGAAGUCCAGCUGGCUUCACCUCUCGCUAGGGGCACCUGCAGGAGACGCAGCAGAUAUAGGCAUCUUUGAUGGGAUCUUGCUGUGUCACCCAGGCUGGAGUGCAGUGAUCAUCGUGUGUCCGGAAUUGGUGGGUUCUUGGUCUCACUGACUUCAAGAAGGAAGCUGGUGGCCCUCGAGAUGGAGUCUCGCUCUGUCUCACCUAAGCUGGAGUGCAGUGGCGCGAUCUCAGCUCAUUGCAGCCUCUGUCGCCCGGUAUGUCUGGAGUUGGUUCCUUCCGGUGGGUUCCUGGUGUGGCUGACUUCAAGAACGAAGCCGUGGACCUUCAAGCAAAAGAGAGAAUCUUGAAAGCAUCACAAGAGAAGUAAACUUGUCUCAUAUAAGGGAUCCUCAAUAAGAUUAACAGCUGAUUUCUCAUCAGAAACCAUGGAGGCCGGAAAGUUGGCAUAUUUAAAAUGAUGAAAGAAAAAAAAAACUGUCAACCAAGAACUCUAUAUCCAAAAAAUAAUUCCUUAGAAAAUUUGUAAUUUAAUUUUUAUUUCUAAUAAAAUGAACACUUCACAAAUUUGCACGUCAUCCUUGCCCAGGGGCCAUCCUAAUCUUCUCUGUGUCAUUCCAGUUUCUAGUAUAUAUGCUACUGAAGCAAGGGAAC